UACGUAGGGGGCUAGCGUUGUCCGGAAUCAUUGGGCGUAAAGAGCGUGUAGGCGGUCCGGUAAGUCCGCUGUGAAAGUCGGGGGCUCAACCCUCGAAUGCCGGUGGAUACUGUCGGGCUAGAGUACGGAAGAGGCGAGUGGAAUUCCUGGUGUAGCGGUGAAAUGCGCAGAUAUCAGGAGGAACACCUAUUGCGAAGGCAGCUCGCUGGGACGUAACUGACGCUGAGGCGCGAAAGCGUGGGGAGCAAACAGGAAUUAGAAACCCGUGG
rnacentral:rRNA from 1 species